UUAUUACUGAUACAAAUUCUUAUUUAAAAAGCCAAAUCCGCCUUUGACAUUUUCCUCUGACUAUGUGUCAGACUAUGUGCGCAACGUCAUAAAUCAUUCAGAUGCAUGUGCCGCCGACAAAAAGGCGUCAGCAACACACCCUAGAGCUGGCAAACUAUUGAUAAUCGCAACAUUCGGUAUUUUCGAUAGCUUUAUUAAUAAAGAUCGAUACUAUCGUUCAAUUCCCAACACCUAUAUUUCAAACAAAAAUCAGGAGAUCGAUUUCGAUAGACCAAAUGAAACCAAGGGUAAUAAAGUCAGUUGGAAGUCAUGAGAGAAAUCAUUGUACAAAAUGUUAGUCUAAUCAGAUGAAAAUUUCACCCUCUAUAGGCGCAAUGUAACUUACCGGAUACAAGUGUUGGACUGCUUAUUUUUGUUUAGUUUCUCAAAAAAUUUUACUUUUGCAAUAGUAUCCAUCGGAAAAAUAUCAAUCGAUAUUCAGUCAAAAUAUUAAAUAUCGAUAGUGCCAGCUCUAACACACACAGGUAACAGCUUAAACCAUGCAAAACAUACACGUGUUGCACAAACAGUCUGAUGUACGCAUUCGCCAAGAAAAGUCGUGCACGGUAACAAUAAACAAAAGGAAAAAAUGCAAAAAUAUGAAAUAAAAUGACCAAGGCAAGUUUGGUCAUUCUUUCUGUGAUUCGCAAAGGAUUUAUACUACUAAUUACACACGGACCUACACCUUUCAUGUCUGUAAAGUAUUGUUGAUAUGGCGUAACGGAACUUCUGGGAAAAUAUGGCGCUUACCCUAUGCGACUUAUUUACAAUUGCGUAUUGUGAACAUUAUUACAUAUGUAUUGGUACUGUGUGAUUAAGGAUCAAAUAGCAAGCAGAGUUGAUUGUAGUACACAUUUAUGGGCGUUGGAAUUGGGGAAAGCACAAAAACAGCAACCAAGACAACAAUUUGCUUGAUUUCAUGCGAAAUCAUCAAGAUAUUGCAAAAGGGUUUGCUGAAGGGGACAAGGUUGUGGUGGAAGAGCUGUGGAAGGAAUUAAGCGGAUAUCUUAAUGCGGCAGGUCCUCCAACUAAAGAUGUAUCUAACUGGAAAAUGUUUGUUUAAGGAAUUUUAA